CUUCACGAAGCCGACAGCCGUGUGUGGCUGUGUCUCGCUGGUUAGCAGAUCGGGUUUCAAAACAAAGCCAUCGCUGGUGGAGUCUGGGCUGCGGGCUUCCUCCUCCUGCCGCUGUGUGACACCUCGAUCCUGCUCUCUGUGCACGGCCGUCAUCUGCCGCCGUGAGCCUCGCUGUUGUUUUGGUUCUUCCCUUCUGUGUAUUUACUUAGUUGGUUUGGCUCUUUUUGGGACUCCAAUCGCCAUAACUCGGCGCUCCGAUUUGGCUCAUAACUGACUAUCUGUUUCUAUUAACGGCGGCCAAAGCCGUGGCAGUACAGCCUGAACAAAAGUUGCC